AGCCUGAAUAUAAGGGACCUGGUCAGGGUGUCCCAGAUUUCCAAAGAUGACUCUCCAGACCUGGUAAGCAAGAGAAAGGUUAAAAGAGCCUUCUGGAGGCCAAGCAGACUAAGGGACUGAGG